GUCCUUUUGUGUUUUUAAGUGUGGUGAUUGGAUUUUCUUGCUGCUGUGUGAGACAUGUCUCCUCAAAUUUUGUUGUGAUGUCAGCACAUUAUCCAUCUGACA
rfam:Mesocricetus auratus contig011153, whole genome shotgun sequence.